UUUUUUUUUUUUUUUUUUUUUCGAGAUGGGGUCUCGCUCUGUUGCUGAGGCUGGAGUGCAGUGGGGUGAUCUUGGCUCACUGCAACCCCUGCUUCCCGGUUUCAAGUGAUUCUCCUGCCUCAUCCUCCCAAGUAGCUGGGAUUACAGGCACAUGCUAUCAUGCCUGGCUGAUUUUUGUGUUGUUCGUAGAGACAUGGUUUCACCAUGCUGGCCAGGCUGGUCUUGAACUCCUGACCUUGUGAUCCUCCCAUCUUGGCCUCCCAAAGUGCUGUGAUUACAGGCCUGAGCCACCGUGCCUGGCCUCAAUCCCAAAUUCUAAUGAGGCGAAUAAGUAAUUGGGAUUCCCAGAUGCUGCUGGUGGGAGUGUAAAUUGGACUACCACCUUUGGAAAGCAGAAUCUUCUAAAGCUGAACAUACGUUUCCCUUCUAAAUGCACGAGAAGAAAUGCCUGAGAAGGUUCAUAGCCGCGUCUUUUGUAGGAGCCACCACCUGGGAACAACCCACAGGCCCGGUGGCUCCAGAACAGGCAUCCACACCACGGAAUUCAUGCUGCAACGAGAAUGAAUAAGACGAGUGCUACGCGCAGCAACACGGGUGACUAUUGCAAACACCAUGUUGCAGGAAGGACAUUACGGAUAAGAGAGUAAAUACGGUUUGAUUCCAUGGAUGAGGGUUUUAAAACAGGCAAAGUGAGUGGAUGGUGUAAGUCAGGGAGGUGGUCACCCUGGGGAAUUAAGGGGUGGGAGGGCGCAGGAGAGGGGCUGGAAGGGAUGCCCUGUUUCUUGGCUGGAGGCUGGAAGGGACGUUUUGUUUCUUGGUUGAGAUACUGGUUACGCGAUGUGUUCACUUGGUGAAAUCCAUCCAGCAGUUUCCUGACAAUGUGUAUAUUUUUCUGAGGUGCAUUUAAUAAAAGGUUGGAAAAAUGUUAUCCGUCUGUGGCCAUACCACCCGGAACACACUCGAUCUCAUCUCAUCUCCAAAACUAAGCAUGGUUGGCCUGGUUAGUACUUGGAUGGGAGAAAACUGUUAUCCUACCUUGACCAAAUGGCUUUUCCCUCUUUAAGCUUGGUUUCCUUUUCUACAAAAUAUGGAUAAUGUUGUCUUGGUCGUAGGGCUAAGGUUAUAUUGAGGUUUAAUUAGUGUGAACAUUGUCAUGAACUACCUAAAACAGGUUAGGUGCUUCAUCAAUAAUGACUAUUGGCCAAGCACAGUGACUCAUGCCUAUAAUCCCAGAACUUUGCAGGCCGAGGCAGACAAAUCACUUGAGGCCAAGAGUUCAAGACCAGCCUGGGCAACAUGGUAAGACUGUCUUUACAAAAAUAAAAAUAAAUGACUCUAAUUAUGAUUUUUAUUACUAAUAAUAUCUUUUUCAUAGACUUACAUGUCUCUGAAUGACUAAUGUUUUUUUUUUAAAAACUGGGGAAGAUGCCAUUAUUCUUCAAGUGAGAAAGAAAAAAACACCCCUAAAAAAGGCUACUCUGUGGGUUGAAAUUAUUUUGCUGAAAAUAGCUCCCUCUUUUGAAAAUGCUUAUUUUUUAUGCUCCCCAAAUCCCUUUUCCUAAAUGUGCUUUGUGGCCGAAAUUUCGGGGAGAGAAUGUCACACCACUUGGAAGAAAUGUCCCCCAUCCUUUCUCCACACAUUUAGAGAACGUGACUAAGGAUGAGUUUUUCAAUUCCUUGGGAGCUGAAAACAUGUUGCGAUAGAGUUUAUACCUCUCAGCCCAGAUUUUCCUCCACUUUUCACGGAGCCGUGUGUCAUGAAAAGGUUUAGUGCUUCACCCAUGCCCUUCCACGGCCUGAAUGCGAUUUCCAGGCCCUGGAGAAAUGCCCCAUGCUUCAUGGCUGGAAGCAAAGCUUUUGUACUCUGGAUAUUACAUUACAUCAACUUAGAAAGUGUAAUCCUGGAAUUAGCCAUUGGCGGCUGAAAAACAGACACAGCUGGUCACAGCUGGGGGAGGAGAAAGGCCUAAGAAGGAAGCCUGGGUUCCAGAUCAAGGGGAGACCCAAAUGAUCAGCGGUGAGGGACUGCAGUCCUCCCUGUAAAGGGCUGGCUGAUGCUGGCUGGUCCCAGGCAUUUUCCUUGCCCUCUGCAAGACAGGCCUGUCUGCCCAUGGGCACAGGGUCUGCGGGUCCAGGAUAAAGAUGCCUAAGUGUCCUGCUGAUGCACUUGGGCAGACUUGACUUCAAUGUCCAGGCAAGUCUGAUGUCAUGUAUCACAGAAAUGGUGGCUGCCUCUCUGCCACAUCACCGGCUCACUCUUCCUUAAAAGGAUGUGAUUCAGGCCAGGCACAGUGGCUCAUGCCUGUAAUCCAAACACUCUGGGAGGCCGAGGCAGGUGGAUCACCUGAGGUCAGGAGGUCGAGAACAGCCUGACCAACAUGGUGAAACCAUGUCUCUACUAAAAAUACAAAAAUUAGCCAGGUGUGGUGGUGCACUCCUGUAAUCCCAGCUACUCGGGAGGCUGAGGCAGGAGAAUCGCUUGAACCUGGGAGGUGGAGGUUGCAGUGAGCUGACAUCGCACCAUUGCACUCCAGCCUGGGUGACAGAGUGAGACUCUAUCUCAAAAAAGAAAAAAAAAA
rnacentral:lncRNA from 1 species